CAAGCGUGGAGCAUGUGGUUUAAUUCGAAGCAACGCGAAGAACCGUUUACCAGGUCUUGACAUCCCGAUGCUAUUUCUAGAGAUAGAAAGUUACUUCGGUACAUCGGUGACAGGUGGUGCAUGGUUGUCGUCAGCUCGUGUCGUGAGAUGUUGGGUUAAGUCCCGCAACGAGCGCAACCCCUAUUGUUAGUUGCCAUCAUUCAGUUGGGCACUCUAGCAAGACUGCCGGUAAUAAACCGGAGGAAGUGGGGAUGACGUCAAAUCAUCAUGCCCCUUAUGACCUGGGCUACACACGUGCUACAAUGGUUGGUACAACGAGUUGCGAGUCGGUGACGGCGAGCUAAUCUCUUAAAGCCAAUCUCAGUUCGGAUUGUAGGCUGCAACUCGCCUACAUGAAGUCGGAAUCGCUAGUAAUCGCAGGUCAGCAUACUGCGGUGAAUACGUUCCCGGGCCUU
rnacentral:rRNA from 1 species